AGUGAACGCUGGCGGUAGGCCUAACACAUGCAAGUCGAACGGCAGCACAGUAAGAGCUUGCUCUUACGGGUGGCGAGUGGCGGACGGGUGAGGAAUACAUCGGAAUCUACUUUUUCGUGGGGGAUAACGUAGGGAAACUUACGCUAAUACCGCAUACGACCUACGGGUGAAAGCAGGGGAUCUUCGGACCUUGCGCGAUUGAAUGAGCCGAUGUCGGAUUAGCUAGUUGGCGGGGUAAAGGCCCACCAAGGCGACGAUCCGUAGCUGGUCUGAGAGGAUGAUCAGCCACACUGGAACUGAGACACGGUCCAGACUCCUACGGGAGGCAGCAGUGGGUAAUAUUGGACAAUGGGCGCAAGCCUGAUCCAGCCAUACCGCGUGGGUGAAGAAGGCCUUCGGGUUGUAAAGCCCUUUUGUUGGGAAAGAAAAGCAGCAGGUUAAUACCCCGCUGUUCUGACGGUACCCAAAGAAUAAGCACCGGCUAACUUCGU
rnacentral:rRNA from 1 species